rnacentral:lncRNA from 1 species
AAAAUUGUUAUUGUUAUAUUUGAUUAUGUUUAUUUAUUGUUUAAUAUUCAUUGGUGUGCGUUUUAUAUUCGAACUUAGUGUGGUACAUUGCCUUUUAAUUACUACAUUAAAAAAAAACAUGAUUCAUUAAAAAAUUUAAAAUCAUCUUAUUUCGAAAAUUGACGAAAUACUUGGUUUUCACGGUUCUCGAGAGAAUUGUGCCCUAACUUACUGGGGUUUAAUUUUUCCAAUGAAUUUAGAUAGCCGAGUAUCUCUUUUGUAAUAAAGCCAUAUGAUUUCUAAAUAAAGCUUUUCAGGAUUUCAAAAUGUUGGAUCCUAACUUACUGGAUAUGACAUUUUGUUAUCUCGAGUUAAGGAUUUUAAAAUAAAGGCAAUAUUCAGUGUUUAGGAAUGUCAAGAAAUUGAACCCUAACUUACUGGAUUCUGAUUUCUCGAUUGACCCAAAUAACCAAAUAUCCUUCUCAAAGUGCAUAAAUUUUUAAAAUUUAAAAAGACAAACCUAAUUUCGAAGAUUGAACUGUUGCACCCUAACUCACUGAGUGUGACAAUUUAUUUCCUUGAAAUGGGUAUGUCUUAUCAUCCAAUUCAAUUAUUCAGGUUUUCUUUUCAAGGGAUCGUAUUUUAAAAUCUUUUCAAAUUUUCAGCACUAAGACAUUAAACAAUCAAUUCGGUACCAAUUUUUGGGCGUUGCGAGGGUGCUAACCCUUCCUCGUGCGUAAUCAACUUCCGAACUUGUGUUUUCAAAAUUCGAAGACCAAAAUCGUUAUUUUAAUAAAUCAAUAUGUAUUUAUUAAAACUUCAAGGUGACCUGAUCACACCUCUAAAAAAUAUUGGUGGCGACUCCAUUUUCAAAGUCGAUUUCUAUUUUUUUUUCAAAUAAAAAUGGUUUCAACAAAGCUCAAGUUAUGAAAGCCAUUUUAGAUAAGUUUUGUGGGCAUUUGAACAGGGAUCUAGUCUUGAGAAUUCAUAAGACGUGUAGGAGACAGCGGCGAGUGAUAUUAUAACAGACUGCUAGAGUGUAUGAAUGAAGAGAGCUUUCUCUUAUGGUCCAAUAACAUUUGAGGAGAUUUUGGCAGUGAUCGUGGCACUGGAGUAAUUUUGCAAUUGGUUCUAGUUUUUUUUUUAUCUACCAAAAAGAUUUGCAAUGUUGAGGCGCUAAACUUUUAAUUAUUAUUAUUUGGCAUAGUGAUAAAUUGAGCACUUAACGUUUAUAUAUUUUAUCAAUUUGAUUUUUAUUUUUAUUUUUUAGUUAAAUUUGACAAAAGAGUUUAAUUUAAUCAUCAACUUUGCACACACACAC